CCUGCAAGCUUCCACAGCCCUCCGAUCACGCCCACAAGCAAAUUCUGGCUGUCAGAUCGUGCUAUCCCGCAUGUGAACCACGCGUAGACUAUCGUGCGUGAAUUGGGCUGUGGAUCGGACCUCUCCGCAUGUGCCGCAUGUCGUGCGCUUGUCCGUGCAUGCAUGAGCCGCAAGAAACGGGCUCUGGACCAUGGCGGUCCAUGUGCGAGGCGUGGACCGCAUUUUCUCCUUGUGGGCAUGCAGUGGACUGCAAAUGCACCACAUGGGCAUGCGGCCCAAGACAGGCACAGAGCACCUGGACCGCGCGCUCGGUUGGGCUGCAC
rnacentral:lncRNA from 1 species